rnacentral:rRNA from 1 species
AUUGAACGCUGGCGGCAUGCUUUACACAUGCAAGUCGAACGGUAACAGGCCGCAAGGUGCUGACGAGUGGCGAACGGGUGAGUAAUGCAUCGGAACGUGCCCAGUCGUGGGGGAUAACGCAGCGAAAGCUGUGGUAAUACCGCAUACGGUCUAUGGAUGAAAGCGGGGGACCGUAAGGCCUCGCGCGAGUGAAGCGGCCGAUGUCAGAUUAGGUAGGUGGUGGGGUAAAGGCCUACCAAGCCGACGAUCUGUAGCGGGUCUGAGAGGACGACCAGCCACACUGGGACUGAGACACGGCCCAGACUCCUACGGGAGGCAGCAGUGGGGAAUUUUGGACAAUGGGCGCAAGCCUGAUCCAGCAAUGCUGCGUGCAGGAAGAAGGCCUUCGGGUUGUAAACUGCUUUUGUACGGAACGAAACGGUCUGGGUUAAUACCCUGGGCUAAUGACGGUACCGUAAGAAUAAGCACCGGCUAACUACGUGCCAGCCGCCGCGGUAAAAC